AUUGAACGCUGGCGGCAGGCCUAACACAUGCAAGUCGAACGAGUGGCGGACGGGUGAGUAAUGUCUGGGAAACUGCCUGAUGGAGGGGGAUAACUACUGGAAACGGUAGCUAAUACCGCAUACCAUCAGAUGUGCCCAGAUGGGAUUAGCUAGUUGGUGGGGUAAAGGCCCACCAAGGCGACGAUCUGUAACUGGUCUGAGAGGAUGAUCAGUCACACCGGAACUGAGACAUGGUCCGGACUCCUACGGGAGGCAGCAGUGGGGAAUAUUGGACAAUGGGGGCAACCCUGAUCCAGCCAUGCCGCGUGUGUGAAGAAGGCCUUUUGGUUGUAAAGCACUUUAAGCAGGGAGGCGUUACCUGCAGAAUAAGCACCGGCUAACUCUGUGCCAGCAGCCGCGGUAAUAC
rnacentral:rRNA from 1 species